UGAGUUUGAUCCUGGUCAGGAUGAACGGCUGGCGGCGUGCCUAAAUACUGAGUUGAGCGAUGGAAGAUUGGUGCUUGCACAAUUUAAGGCAGCGAACGGGGUGAAGUACGCGUGGGGAAUUGCCUUUGAGCGGGGCGACCAACAUUGGAAAACGAUGUAAUACCGCAUAAACUUAACACAGUUUUUGUUUGAAAGAUGCAUGUCACUCCAGUAUGCUUUCCGCGUUGUAGUUUAGCUAGUUGCGUGGAGGUAACGGCUCACCAAGGCGAUGUCAUGCGACCUGAGAGGGUUGAUUCGGGCCCAUUGGGACUGAGACACGGGCCCAAAUCUACGGGAGGCAGCAGAGGGAAUCUUCUGGCAAUGGACCGAAAGUCUUACCGAGCAACGCCGGGUGAGUUGAUAGAGGUUUUGGAUGUAAAAUUCUGUUGUAGAGAAGACGUGGUGAGAGUGGAAAGCUCAUCAAGUUGACGGUAACUACCCAGAAGGGGGGCUAAUCGUGCCAGCAGCCGCGGUAAUUAGUGGUCGAAGCGUUGUCGGAUUUAUUUGGGCGUUAAAAGCGAGCCAGGUGGUUUUAUUAAGUCUGGUGUAAAAGGCGUGGUCAACCAUUGUAUGCUUGAAACUGGUAGACUUGGUGCAGGAGGAGAGAGUGGAAUUCAUGUUAGCGGUUGAAAUGCGUAGAUAUAUGGAGGACACCGGUGGGAAGGGGCUCUUUGGCCCUGUAAAUGAACUGAGGCUCGAAGUGGAAAACCAAGGUGGGGGGAUUAGGAUUACCCUAGGGUGUUCCAGCAGUAACGAUGAGUGCUGAUGUAGGGACUAUAAAGUUUCUCUGUAUCGCGGCUACGCAUAAGCACUUCGCCUGGGGAGUACGGACCGCAAGGUUGAAAAUUCAAAGGAAUUACGGGGGUCCGCAAAGCGGUGGGAGCAUUGUGGUUUAAUUCGAGCAACGCGAAGACCCCCCUUACCAGUCUGACAACUCGUGCUAUUUAGAGAUAGGAAUUUCCUUCGGGCACGGGGAUACGGUGGUGCCCCCAUGGUUGUCGUCAGCUUCGUGUCGUGAGAUGUUGGUUAGUCCCGAACGAGCGCACUUUGUUGUUGCACAUUCAUAAGUGGGCAUCUAACGGAUGCCGGUGAUACGGAGGAAGGUGGGGAUGACGGUAAUCUUAUGCCUUAUGGACUCGGGCUACACACGUGAUACAAUGGAUGGUAAACGAGUCGGAGACCGUGAGUUUAUAUUACUCUCUUUUUCUCCUCUCCGUUGUUGUUGUUGAGAGAGAUAGAUUAGCUAAAUCUGUCUCGCGAAUCGUUGUACCAUCCACUUGUAGCAGUUGUGUAGCCAGGUCAUAAGGGGCAUGAUGAUUUGACGUCUCCCCCUUCUCGGUUUAUCACGGCAGUUUCGUUUAG
rnacentral:rRNA from 1 species